GGCACACAGCUGUGGCAAUACCAGAAAGCCUUCCAGAAGAAGGAAAUCCCUUUCUGGUGGUAAGCAUUGCAUUUUGCAAUGAAAGAAUAGCAAGGGAGCCUUUUGUGAAUUCUUGCUAGCAGUCUCAGAAUUGGAGCAUCUGCUGCUGCCUGGAGAAUAGGCACAACUUUGACCCAUUUGCAGUGUGGAAAGUUAUCUUUUGAACUUUAUUGGAAUUAAUACAGUUAACCAAUUUAGGAGAAUGUAAAUUUGCAUUUUUGUGGUCUUCUAAUGGCUAUUUUGCAUAUUAAAGGCUGGCAUUAUAUCAACCCACCUGCUUCUACCAGAGAGAGAGAGAGAAAAAAAAAUCAGAAUCACUCAACCUGCAGAUUGCUGUCAGCUUGUGAUUAUGUGAAUGCAGUACUUUUGCUGGAGUGAGAAUGAGCAGUCUUCCUUGGGAAUGGCUUUGAAGCCAUUAAGGGGAGAGUAACAGAUUUGUGUCCAAAGUUUGCAAAAGUACUCUCUGCUGCCCAACAUGCAAAUCUAAAAUCAAGUCAGAUAAUAUUCCUUGAGGCUUUCCAUAUACAAAGGCAAAGAUAACUCUAGAACUCCUCAAUCAGAAAAUGAAACCUCAAGACAUACUCUGAGGUGUUGAACAGUUAACGUCAACAGUUCCUAAAGGAUAGUUGGAAAGAAAUACUCUGAGAAGAUGAUGAACCAGAGAUGAGUACUAGGAGCAAAAUUUGGUCCAUGUGCUGAUCCAAGCUGUUAUUCCCCACCAUGCUAUGGUCUAGUAGGAUCUAACAAAGAGGUACAAAUUGUGGCACACCACCUUCUGAAGAAACCAAGGGCUUUGUUACAGUAAACUGGUCCAGGGCGAUAUCACAAGUAUAAAAAAUAUUCCAUUCUGUAUCAAAACUAGGCACAUGCCUUUAUUUAUAGUAACAGAAGUUAACAGAGUUGAGCAUUGUUGCCUUGGGUCCUAUUUCUUGGCAUCCUACAUCAGACAAACGCAUCUUUCAACAUAUAUCCGCCCAUAACUCCAGGGAUCUAGUCUCAGGGUUAUCUCUAUGUAAAGGAAGGUGAAAUCACACUUGGAUCUAUAGUGGUAAAGUAAAAAGAAAGGGCAGUGCUGUGGAAAUCCUUGAAUGACCUCUCGCGGAUGGUGUCGGGGCCAGCACACAUGGGCUGCUGGCCACCAAACUGCAGGGUGGGAUGUCGCUGCAGGAUCCAGAGGAGGCGGCAGUCACAGGCCAGUGGGUUGUUAUUAAUGCUCAGGACCUCCAGAGCCCUAGGGGAGGAGAAAACAUUCUCUUCCAAAGUUUCCAGGAGGUUCUGAGACACAUUGAGCACACGAAGGAAGCGGAGCCCUUGGAAGGAGUGAGGCUCAAUGGUGCGGAGCUGGGCUCCCACUAUAUGAAGCUCCUGAAGGCGGAUCAGGACAGAAAGCACUGCAAAGAAGACUUGGAUUUCCUCUGAGGACAGAUUCAGAAGAUCCUGCAGAAGGAAGUCCCCAAAAGGAUGAUAUAGUGAUAAGAGAGGAUUUCAGCCAUCAUGGAAAAAAGAAAAAAAAAAAAGAAAAAAAAG
rnacentral:lncRNA from 1 species